rnacentral:rRNA from 1 species
UUGGAGGGCAAGUCUGGUGCCAGCAGCCGCGGUAAUUCCAGCUCCAAUAGCGUAUAUUAAAGUUGUUGCAGUUAAAAAGCUCGUAGUUGAAUUUCGGGAUCAGUACGCUGGUCGUGCCUUCGGUAUGUACCGGUGUUACUGGUUCCUACCUUCUGACGAACCGUCAUGUCAUUAAUUUGGUGUGGCGGGGAAUCAGGACUGUUACUUUGAAAAAAUUAGAGUGUUUAAAGCAGGCUCGCGCUUGAAUACAUUAGCAUGGAAUAAUGAAAUAGGGCGUUCGAUCCUAUUUUGUUGGUUUCUAGGAUUGACGUAAUGAUUAAUAGGGAUAGUUGGGGACAUUAGUAUUCAAUUGUCAGAGGUGAAAUUCUUGGAUUUAUUGAAGACUAACUACUGCGAAAGCAUUUGCCAAGGAUGUUUUCAUUAAUCAAGAACGAAAGUUAGGGGAUCGAAGACGAUCAGAUACCGUCGUAGUCUUAACCAUAAACUAUGCCGACUAGGGAUCGGAUGAUGUUAAUUUUUUAAUGACUCAUUCGGCGCCUUACGGGAAAC